rnacentral:misc_RNA from 1 species
ACGCAAGUUGCGGUCCUAGGUACACCAGGGACCACACCUUCUUGAGUAUCGGUUCUAUCAACACUCGACGGCGUGCGUGCAUGCACACACGUGCAGUCGGAAAAUGAGUUUCUUGACCUUGUGUCCUCUCGGGGGCCGAGUCCAAGUUUCUUUAAAUGAUAGAUGGUCUAUCAGUGCUUAAUCCUAACCAUUUUUCGGGAAUAAGACUAAACAUGGAUAACAUCCAAUAUGUAUCUGGACGUCCCUCGUUGUAUUUUUAAAAUCUGGAUCAAGUCAGACAACACUCCCAAUUAAGGCUUCGUGCUUAAAUCUCAUGUUUGGAUAAUGAUAUCAAGUAAGGAGAGAGAACCCCCUGAACUUAA